rnacentral:rRNA from 1 species
CGUGUAGGCGGUUUUUUUAAGUCUGAUGUGAAAGCCCUGGGCUCAACCUGGGAAGUGCAUUGGAUACUGGAAGACUUGAAUACGGGAGAGGGCAGUGGAAUUCCUGGUGUAGGAGUGAAAUCCGUAGAUAUCAGGAGGAACACCGGUGGCGAAGGCGGCUGCCUGGACCGAUAUUGACGCUGAGACGCGAAAGCGUGGGUAGCAAACA